GGAAAAACCACUAUCCCAAACGAAAUGGCAAGAAGCGAUUGCGUGGGCGAAGCUCGUCGAGCUCGUGAUCCUUGAUCGUCCUGUAGUGAAUAAGACGGCACCUCCAUCGUACUCUCUUCCCUCCAUCAAACCUCUGUCACUUCUUCUUUUUUGGCCAAAUUGGAAGGUCCGACAACAGGCAUCGAAGAGCCUUUUGAGAAUUUUAUCCACUGAAAAUGCACUUUUCGCUGAAGCUCUCGCUGAUUUGAUCUUCUCGGAAACGACAAAUGGAACUAUUGAUCAGCUGCUUCGACGGGUUCCAGGUAGCUGCGAAUUUUGGAGCAAAAUGAGCCAAAAUUCACGGAAAUCUGAAAAAAUAAGCCGAAAUUUUGGAAAAUGAGAAAAUUUUUGGACUAAAAAUGAGCCAAAAUUUGGAGAAAAAAAUAAGACAAAAUUUUGGACUAAAAAUGGGCCAAUUUGAGCCAAAAUUUACAGAAAUCUGAAAAAAUCAGCAAAAAUGAGCCAAAAUUUGGACAAAUCUCAAAAAAUUUCACCAAAAACGUGAAAAAAUGAGCCAAAAUCUCUGAAAAAUCCCAAUUUUUCAGUUCAAAAAUUGAAUUUUAAGAAUUUUUCUUAAUUUUAGACUAAAAACCCUGUAUUUUGUACCAAAAAUUACCGAAAAACUGAUUUUCAACGGAAUUUUUUUUCUUAUUUGAUCCAUUUUUCACCAAAAAAAGGUAGAAUUUAAGAUGAAAUUUCAAAAUUAAAAUUUUCUGUUAAAAUUUGAAUAUUUCACAAAAAAUCCCAAAAAACUGAUAUUUUAAGAAUUUUACGAAAAAAAAAAACGAAUUUUUCACAAAAAUCUAGAGAAAAAAAAAGUUUUUAGCGAAAAAUUCAUGUUUUGGCUGAAAAUUUCACCAAAAAUUAAAAAAAAUCUUGAAAUUUUGACAAAUUCGGCCGAAAUGUCAAAAAAAAAAAACAAUUUUACAUAAAAAUCUAGUUUUUUCAGCAGAAUUUCUAGGAAAAUUCUCUAUUUUCAGAAAAAAAACAUUAUUUUUAAAGAUAAAAACUUUUUAAAAAAUCCAAAUUUCUGCCAGAUGUUCAGAAAAAUUGGAAUUUUCAGAAAAAAGUUAGAUAAAAAUCGAAAAAUUCUCGAGAAAUGUCUAUUUUACUGAAAUUUUUCAUUUUUAUGGCUAAAAUUCUGGAAUUUUUAAGAAAAAGCCAAUUUUCUGAAAUACAAAAAAAAAAGGUACAAUUUUUUGGAAUGGAACUUUUUUUUUUGAAAAUUCACAAAAAAAAUAAUUUUUUUACAACAAAACUAAUAAAUUUACCAAAAACAACUGAAAUUUUCAGGAAAAACCGAAAAUUUAUGUUAAAAAUUUUGUUCAGCUAUUUUAAUAAGUUUUCAGCGGAAAUUUCUGCCUAGUUUUUUAAAUUUUUCCACCAUAAUUUGAAUUUAUGACGGAAGAAUAUGAAAUUUUCGACAAUUUUACAUAAAAAUCCAGUUUUUUAGCAGAAAUUUCCAUGAAAAAUCCGCAAAUUUCCGGUAUUUCAGGUUGUCCAACACCAGUUGACAGUUGGCAAGUACCCGGUGAAUGGUAUGUAUCAACACUUCGACUUCUUCUAACACCAAAAGAGCCCGAGCUGGAUAAACUGGCAAUUCAUACAUUGCUCUUGGCUUCUGUACAACGUCUUGUCGAGGUUGAUGGCUCUGUUUGGCUCCGAUGGGUUCAUGAGCAUCGAGAAUCGAAAACGUGGCAAGCUAGCGAGGUUUUCAGGGAGACUGCCAUUCAAAAUGUGCUUCAAUGCAAGGAUCGAGGUGUUCGGUACGGAGAAAUUGGAGGAAAUGCGAAAAAAUCGGCCUAAAACGCUGAAAAUGAGCUAAAAAUUGGCAGUUUUGGGCUGAAAAUGAGCUAAAAAGUGGCAGUUUUGGGCUGAAAAUCGUGAAAAUUUUGAUUUUUAGCCCUUUAAACUUGGAAAAACAGAGAAAAUUUGACUGAAAAUCAGCGAAAAAGGUAGAAAAUCGACUGAAAAGUCCGAAAUUCGGUAGAAAUUCAGCUAAAAAUCAAAAAAAUGCCACGAAAUCGGCCGAAAUUGAGCUAAAAAUGGACUUUUGAGAAUGAAAUUUGCCAGUUUUUGGCCGGAAAACUGUGAAAUUUUUGAUUUUUACCUCUUUAAACUGUAAAAAACUACGAAAAUUGAGCUGAAAAUGCGCGAAAUUCGAUUGGAAAUAGGCGAAAAAUCGGCAAAAAAAAGCUAAAAAUUUGCAGUUUUGGGCUGAAAAUAGUGAACAUUUUUAUUUUUAGCCCUUUAAACUUGGAAAACUAAGAAAAUUGAUAGAAAUUUUGCUGAAAAUGCGAGAAAUUCUAUGAAAAAUGAAUAAAAAAUGCCAAAAUUUAGCCGGAAAUCUACCAAAAAGCUGAAAUUCGGCAAUUUUUGAGCAAAAAAAUUCUGAAAAUUGCCAAUUUUAGCCCUUUAAACUAGGAAAAACUAUGGAAAAUUGAUUGAAAUUUCGCUGAAAAAAGGGUUUAAAAAAUCAAAAAAUCGGUCGAAAAACAGUCGAAAAAUUACAGAAUUGCCGAAUUUUUGAGCUUUUUGCUCCCGAAAAUCGGAAAUUUGGCAAUUUUUCAAGUGUUCAAGUGCCAAAUUGACUGAAAAUGAGCUGAAAUUGUUCGAAAAAAAUUAAUUUUAAAAAAUUUCAGCAAUUUUUAGACUAAAAAUCAAGAAUUUUCAGUGAAAAUCGCAAUUUUUAAACCUAAAAAUCCACAUUUUAAGACUUAAAUUUGAGGAUUUUGCGAUUUUUUGCCGAAAAAGUGGGAAAUUAUCCAAUUUCAAGGUUUUUCUUGUUGAAAAUUUGAAAAUUGGCAAUUUUUCGACUUUUCAAUUGUCGAAUUUCUCGAUUUUUAGCCUAAAAAUCAAGAAUUUUCAGUGAAAAUCUCAUUUUUUUAAGCCUGAAAAUCCAAAAUUUCAGGCUUAAAUUACCGAAAAACCCGAAAAUUCCCCAAAUUUUCAUCAAUUUUACCGUUUUUUUCUUCAGAAACACUGCUCUCGUCACCCUAAUUGCUCUUCACGACGAGCGGCUCCGUGCUGAUCUCUGGAAACACGUGGAUGCUUCAAUUAAACAAUUGGAAGUGACGGAUUACGGUAGAAUUACGGAACAAGAGAUAUCGAUUUAUAAGUGUGCUGAAGGACAACUAUAUAAUACAAGAGUUCUUGAUUUGUACGGCAUUUUUUAGAUGGGAAAUCGAGAAAAAUUGGAAAAAAAUGAAUGGAAUUCGAUUUUUUCCGAAAAAAAUUGAGAAAAAACUGCUUUUUUGGGAGAAAAUUGACUGAAAAUCGAGAAAAAUCAGAGAAAAAACAGCAAAAUUCGACUGAAAACCGAAUUUUCUGCGAAUUUCGAGUUUUUCAUUGAAAAUUGGCAAAAAAACACUGCUUUUUUGGGUGAAAAUUCGAGAAAAAUUGGAAAAAAUGAAUGAAAGCCGAUUUUUCCCGGAAACAUUGAUGAAAAAACGGAAAAUUCGACUGAAAACCGAAUUUUCUGCGAUUUUUCGAGUUUUUUUUCAGAAAAAUUGGCAGAAAAACAGCUUUUUCCUGUGGAAAAACUGAAAAUUGAAAAAAUUGAGCAAAAUUUGUAAAAAUUCUACCGAAAUUGGUAUUUUCUGCGAUUUUUUUUUCCAAUUUUACCCCGAAAAUUCAAGGAAAAUGAGUGAAAAUUCAAUAAAAGCGGAAUAUUUUGAACAAAAACUGUAAAAAUAGACUUUUUUAAAAAAUUUUUUAAUGGAAAAUCGCAAAAAAUCCCCAUAAAUUGUAUUUACAGUGAAAUUUUGCCCAUUUUUAAUGAAAAAAAAUCGAAAAAUCGCGUAAAAUCUUGUUAAAAAUAGAAUUUUACGCGUUUUCUUUCUUUUUCCGUGAAAAUUAUCAAAAAUCACCGAUUUUGGGUAAUUUUUGGUCGAAUUUCGACGAUUUUUUGUGAUUUUGACUCGAAAAUAGCAUUUUGAGUGAUUUUUUCAGUAAAACUUCGAAAAAUCCUGUCAUUAAUGGAAUUUUACGCGUUUUUCUUAAAUUUUCGACGAAAAAUUCGCUGAAAAUCCUGUUUUAUGCGAAAUUGUGCUUAUUUCCCUAAUUUUUUAACGCAAAAACUCGAAAAAUCGCGUAAAAUCCUGUUAUAAAUGGAAUUUUGCUCAUUUUGCACAAUUUUUCCGAGAAAAAAACGUUUUUACUCUGAAAAAUUGCGCAAAAUGAGCAAAAUUCCAUUUAUAACAGGAUUUUACGCGUUUUUUCGAAUUUUUGCGUUAAAAAAUUGGGAAAAUAAGCAAAAUUUUGCAUAAAACAUGAUUUUCAGCGAAUUUUUCACCGAAAAUUUAAGAAAAACGCGAAAAAUUCCAUAAAUGACAGGAUUUUUCGAUUUUUUAUUGAAAAAAUCACUAAAAAUGCUAUUUUUCUAAUCAAAAUGACUGAAAUUCGACCAAAAAUCACCCAAAAUCGGUGAUUUUUAACAAUUUUCACCCAGAAAAUGUGAAAAAUUGAUAAAAAUUCAGCUUUUCCUGUGAAAAAAGUCGAAAAUUAACGAAAAAUGGCAAAUUUUUAGUGAUUUUUCGCCGAAAAAGUGAUUAAAAUUUCAAUUUUUCAGCGAUGAAGCCGCCGGCAUCAAAGGAACCAAAGGAACAAGUAUUCAGGAUCAAAUGGCUGAAAUUCAACUGAUGUAUGCGCUGAAAAUCGAGAUUUUCUGAAUUUUUCACGAAUUUUGAGGCUAAAAAACCGAUUUUUUACCUUAAAAAUCAAUUUUUGGCUCCAAAACCCGCUAAGAAACUAAAAAACUGAAUUUUUCACGAUUUUUUUCUAAAAAUUCGGAUUUUUACAUUAAAAUCCGAAUUUUCGGCCCCAAAACCAAUUAAAAAUUGCUUUUUCACGAUUUUUGAUGCUAAAAAUCCGGAUUUUUACCUGAAAAAUUGAAAUUUGGCUCCAAAACCACCAAAAACUCCAUUUUUCAGCCGAGAACUCGCCGCAAAACGUCAAAAAGAGGGAAAACUGUCUGCAAAACAGAAACAAGUGAUGGAAAAGGAGCUCGCCGCCGAAAAAGACACUCGAGAUGCUCUUCGUGAGCUCUACGUGACGGCUGAAGCCAAAUUGGACGAAUGUAGAGCUAUGGUGGCGGCUGAUGCUGCUGGAGCUUUUGCUAGGUGUGAAAUUGGACGAAAAAUGCCGGAAAUUUGAAGUUUUUAGCUGAAAAAUUUGGAAAAUAUGGAAAAUUUUAUGUGGAACGGCUGAAAAAUUGCAAAAAUGGGUGAUUUUGCAAUUUUUAGGCUAAAAAAUUGGCAAAAAUUGAACUUUUGCAAAGUUUUCGGGUUUUUACAGCCAAAAUGGAAAAUUUGGAAAUUUUCAGCCAGUUUUCAUGAAAAUUUAAAAUUUUCAGGCGGAUUUCAGUCAAAAUUGAGCAAAUUUCGAGCUUUUUAACAUAUUUUAUUCAAAAUUUCGAUUUUCAAUGACUUUUCUAUCGGAAAAAUCAUUUUUCCAAGAGUUUAGGAGUUUUCCACAAUUUUUGGCUCAAAAUAUUGAGUUUUUUAUCAGAAAAUCCGUUUUUAACGCUAUUUUCAUGUCUAAAAACGUUUUUCACUAAAAAAAAUAGCCGUUUUUUAAGCCACGAAAAAAUAGGGUUUUUGGUCAGUUUUUUCGAGCGAAAUCCUAGUUUUUGGCUUUUUUGAAUUUUUAAACGAUUUUUCGUGUGAAAAAUGCCAAUUUCAGCAAUUUUUCAGUCUAAAUUCGAGUUUUUCAACAGAAAAUCUUAAAAAUUCAAUUUUUGUCAGUUUCUUAAAAUUAAAAAUGUUUUAGAAAUUGGCAAAAAUUGAAUUUUUCGGAUUUUAUGCUGAAAAACUCGAAUUUUGACUGAAAAAUUGCUGAAAUUGGCAUUUUUCACAUGAAGAAACGUUUUAAAAAAAUCCAAAAAAGUUGAAAAUUAGGAUUUCGCUCGAAAAACUGACCAAAAACCCUAUUUUUUUGCGAAUUGCUUCAAAAAAUGACCAUUUUCAGUAAAAAACGUUUUUAGACAGAAAAAAUGUGUUGAAAAACGAAUUUUCUGAUGAAAAACGCAAUUUUUUGUGCCAAAAAUUGUGGAAAACUCCGAAACUCCUGGAAAAAUGAUUUUUCCGAUAGAAAAGUCAUUGAAAAUCGAAAUUUUUUGAAUAAAAUAUGUUAAAAAACCGAAAUUUGCUCAAUUUUGACUGAAAUCCGCCUGAAAAAUGGGAAUUUUCAUGAAAAAUGACCAAAAAUCUCCGAAUUCUGACUAAAAAACUGCCGUAAAACCCCCCAAAAUUUCCAAAAACUUUUUCAGACCAGAAAUCCUCUUCGAGUACUGUAUGCCGUUGACCCGUUCGCUUCUUGUUUCGGAAGAAGCCGCCCGUCUUUUCCUUGCCUAUCGGGAUGCGUGUUUCGAGCAUUCGGAUGACUAUUUGG
rnacentral:sRNA from 1 species